CUCAGAAGGGAGCAGAAAUUCAGCUUCACGGUGCUAGGGAGCAGUUUGGUGCACAGCGACUUAAUUUGGCUUCAACUGUUGAAAUAAGACCAUGGGUGGAGAUGAGUGAGACGCAAUACCCCAGAAGUGCCACCCCUUGCCAGUUUCCUGUGUAUUGUGUUAGCAUAUAACCAUAUGAACCUUGGCGCCAGGAAUGGCGGUGUAGUCCUAGCUACCCAAGAGAUUGAGGCAGAAGGAUCUCGAGCGGAGUUCGGGGCCAGCCUGGCUGGCAGCAUGGCAAGAUCCUAUUUAAACAAUCAAAAAUACUCUUAAGUCUUUGGAAGUUGGCGCUGUGGUCACACAAUCAUGCUGAAAGCAUCCAGAUGUAAAAUGAUGGCGAAAAGGUGAUACGUUGGAAAACCAACAAAUUCACUCAAAACAUUAAAUCAGAGCUUCUGGACCUCCAGCUCUAUUGACACUGUGGGUUAGAUAAUUGUUGAGGGAGGGUGGUGUGCUACCCUGUGCUUUGCAAGCAACAUCUCAGACCUUGUGCCCAUCAAUAAUCAGUACCCCCCACCCCCACUGUGGCAACCAAAAAUGUGUCCAGAGAUGUGCGGUGGCACUGUAGUUUAGGAAGCCCUUACUCUGAAUAUUUCUGUAGCUAAGGAAGUUCAUGACUGCUGCCCACUGCACCCCCUGCCUGGCUCUUCCCUGGUAUUCCCAAAUAGGAAGGGCUUUUCCACAUCUUCCCCACUUUGAUGGUAAACAUCAGGGACAGGCACAGCCACCCCAGACGUGGACACACUAGGCCAGUGAUGGCUAACCUUUUAGAGCUUUCUAUGACACUUGUGCCACCGAUUCAUCGCCACUGCACUAGGCUGACAAGUUAGGUGGCUGGUUGCUAUCAAUCCAGCCCCAUCUCACACUGACACAAUUGCCCUACAGCGGGCAGGUGAAAGCCAUCAUUUCUGAGGAAAAUCCCUAAAGCCCCUGGACAUUCAGCACCCAAAAUUGAACUAAAGGACCAGGAGGGCUGAGUGGAUGAAAUAGAUUCAUUGUAUCCACUUGACCCUUAAUAGUAACUGCUGUGUUUCCCUUACCCCAGAUUCUUCCCUGUGCUAUCUCCUUUAAUCCUCACAAAAACAGAAAGUCAUUACUACCACCUCACAGAUGUAGAAAUGGAUUCAGAAAUGAAGAACAAUCAUAGUAGGUUGAAGGUGUUUACAGACUCUGCGAGGAGAUUUGAAGGUUCACUAGUGUCUAACUACCUGCCUAAGAAAACAAAAGACAGUCAGGAACACAAGUGCAUCUGGACAGGAAGUAAUAGCAGCUGAGGAAGACAGAAGGCAUGGAGCCAGCCACCAGCCACGUGGAGUGCUAGAAAAACGGCCAGCCUUGAUUAAGAAGUGCUGCGAGUGUGAAAUACACACCAGAUCUGAGUCCCUCUCCAGAAAUCCCACAUUUGGAUCCAGACUAUGGAAUGAAACCCGAGCCAGAACCUGGAGAGGCUCCAGCACCCUGGCCUCUUGCCCUAUCUUCCAGCUGACCUCUCCGGGGGUACCAGAGCCUGCGUAAGCCAUUAGGACACACCUGAGGCCUCCAUGGCCCUGCCUGGAGAAUGUCUGGCCUGAGGGAGCUGCUGAGGGGAAGGAGCGGGAAGAGACAAUGAAAAGGAGGAAACUGUGAACCUCAAACCCUCAACCCGCCUGAGGUGGACCAUCUUCUUCUGGAGGCCCUGGGCUGGCCGUGGCUGAGCUGGGAGAAGCCAAGAUAUUGCUUUGGAAGCCUGGUGAGGAACGGCACGGGGUCCCAGCUCCCCAGGCUGGCUGCUGUGCAGAUGCUGGACAACAGAGCCAGGAUGGAGGCCACCAAGAAAGAAAAGUUACUCUCUGAGCUGAAAGAUAAUGACUUCAAUGUGUAGAUAAAAGCCAAACAAGCAAAUUAAAACAAACAGAAAAUCCAGAAGGGAAGCUGGCCAGAAACAAAGACAACCUGUGCUCUGGCUCCUCAGGGAACCACCAGAUCAGCCAAAAGGCACAACCUAAACUUCCAGAAGGUGAGAUCCUUUCUGCCCACCUUGCUCCAGCCAGCUCCCAGGAACACAGAAAUGGUCCCCAUGACCCCAGAGGGCUAUGG